UCAAGUCUCAGUACUCUGAAGGAAAUCUGGAGAUCAGAUGAUUCUGCAACUCAGUGGUUGUUUUCUGUCUCCAAGGCAUCCUGAGAGAUUAAAACUAUUUUUCUAUAGAUUAUGAACUCAACUUCCAUCUUUUGUUGGGCCAUUCUGGGCAAGAAUAAUAAUUGAUGGUGAUGAUGAUAAUGAUGAUGAUGAUGAUGAUAAAGCUAGUAUACGUAUGCUGCUUUCAGAUUUGCAGAGUGCUAUAUGGAAAGAUAUGUCUGUAGAUAUAGAUAUAUUGAUGUCCUAAAGCCAUUGAUAUGGAUUGGCUCCUCAUUGGUGGUUAAUGUUCCAUUCCUACAUGAGAGAAAUAGCAUAGUUGUUGCAGUAGUUGAGAGCUAGAGAGGUCAGAGGAUCAGUUCCUCCAAACUCUAAAACUUCUUAGAGUCUCUUCAAGUUUCCUUCAAGUCAUUUCAGGGUCUUCUGACUUCCAUCUUCAAUGGAAGAUGCCAUUCACCUUCAGGGCUCUAAAAGAAAAAACUCUAGGAAGAAGCCAAAAUGAGAUGAGGUGGCAGUCUCCAUCAUGUCCUUAUUCUUCACUUGCUACAUUACAGGCUCUGGGAAAUUUCCCCUUUGGUGAGAUUCCUCUCUCUUAAUUGAGCUGAGUUAUCUUGCUCCCAAUGGGAGAGCUAAUUCACUCUGUGUUUUCUGGGACAUACUCUCUUAUACAUGCAUGCUCUGAUUUCUGUUUUGCUGUUGACUUUUAAAACUGCAUUUCUUUGCUAUCUACUAUGAGUGUCCAUUGUGGAACUGGCAAUUGGAGGAAAGGUAUUCAAGUUUUGGACAUAAAGCUUUCCCCAUUAAUAAAUAGUACUCAGAAGUUUAACUUGAACCUAAAACCUAUAUUCCCUAUAUCAGCAAUAUUUAAGGGAGCAGAAAGAUAAAAUUCAAACCCAGUGUACCUUCUCUGAGGAAGAGAACAGAGUAGCCAACCUUCUGGCCCCAGAUUCCUGCUUUUCCUCCUGUCAGGAAAGAAAGUCUCAUGUUUGGAGAAGAAUGAGGGAAUGAGAAACUAGAGCUAUCUAUUCUGCCUUCUUUCAAGCCACAUAAUGAAGUCCUCAUGUUACAUGAAGGCAAUAUUUUGCCCUUGCUACAUAUAUUUUGCUAGAUAGACAGAUUUUCAUUUGAAAACAAGUGUAACACAAUCGUUGACACUUAAUAAAUACUUAUUAACUGAUUGAAAAAAAUUAGUGAAACUAUAAUUUUCCACUCUUUCAAAGCAUUCCAUAAUAUUUCCCAAGAUUAGAUGAUGGAUAAGUACCUGUCAUAUUUAUUUGUAUGCAUCCACUUUUUUAGACUCUUGCCUUCUGUUUUUGAAUCAAUAUCAUAUAUUAGUUCCAAGACAGAAGACCAGGAAUGGCUAGGCAAUGGGAGUUAAAUGACUUGCCCAGGGUCACACAGAUAGGCAGUGUCUGAGGUCAGAUUUAAAUCCAGGACCCCCCAUCUCUAGGCCUGACUCUUAAUCCACUGAGUAACCAACUACCACAUUCUUUUGUAUUUAUUUUUUUUAUUUAGUCGAUUUAGAAUAUUAUUCCUUGGUUACAAGAAUCAUAUUCUAUUCUUCUCUCCCCUCACCCCGCCCUUCGCAUCACUGACAUGCAAUUCCACAUGUGUCCUUGAUCAGAACCUAUUUCCAUGUUGUUGAUGUUUGCACUAGGAUGAUCAUUUAGAGUCUACAUCCCCCAUCAUAUCCCCUUGACCCAUGUGAUCAAGCAGUUGUUUUUCUUCUGUGUUUCUACUCCCACAGUUUUUCCUCUGCAUGUGGAUAGUGGUCUUUCUCAUAGAUCCCUCUAGGUUGUUCAGGAUCACUGCAUUGCCACUAAUGGAGGAGUCCAUUACAUUCGAUUGUACCACAGUGUAUCAGUCUCUGUGUACAAUGUUCUCCUGGUUCUGCUCCUCUUGCUCUGCAUCAAUUCCUGGAGGUUGUUCCAGUUCCCAUGUGUAAAGGGUGAACCCCAAAUAAUAAAAUACCCAAGUCAGCUGCCAAAUUUUAUAGUGAUUUAAUUGAUAUAGUAGAGAAGAUUUUAAGAAGAAGGAGGAAAGAAGGGGAUAAUACCGGGCAGGAAGAUAGGAGAUCUAGAAAGUAAAGGUUUGAGUGUGAAGGAGAAAAGAAUCAGCUUGACCUCCAAAGAGGCUUAGCUAAGAUACCCGAACCUGAAAUCAGUUCCAGGGCAAACUCACCAUCCAACAACCAUCCAACACUCUAAGAUAUCGGAAGGCUUAGCACACUGCCAACCAGAGUUGUCUCUCCAGGGAAAGAGAAAGAGGCAGAAAUGACGUGUCGUAUAUGGACGUUUUUACACCACUUUUCUGCAUCUGAUCUGUACCAAUGAGGACUUAGCUUGACUUAGGACAGCCCAGAGGUCUGUCCUUUUUUUGCACAUGUCUGCUGAAGGCCAUCUCCUCAGAUAAUUAAAUCUUGAGUUUGAUGCAGACCUUUCAAAAUCUUGUUAAACUGAGUAGGGUGGAGAAUGUGGGUUUUCCAAGAGCUGAUUCUGUUAUUCUAAGCAUCUCCAUUGUUAUUGAUCAGGAAGUAGCUAAAUCAAAUCUUCUAAAGAAUGGUCUGAUUAGGGUGGAAUAGUUUUAAAAUUCACACAUGGAAUCUCUCCACUUUAUUAUUCCUUUGAGCACAAUAGUAUUCCAUCACGAACAUAUACCACAAUUUGUUCAGCCAUUCCCCAAUUGAAGGGCAUCCCCUCAUUUUCCAAUUUUUUGCCACCACAAAGAAUGCAGCAAUGAAUAUUCUUGUACAAGUCUUUUUCCUUAUUAUCUCUUUGGGGUACAAACCCAGCAGUGCUAUGGCCACAAUCUGUUGUAUUUAUAAAGGUCCUGGGCCCCAUACCCAAGGAUUCAAGUCAGCUCUUAGCUCUUAUUUCUUAGUCUGUUCCCAGCUCUCUCUCAAGACUUCUCCAAAAUGGCACUUACUCUUCAACUGACCCCAAUAUUUUAUAGACUCAACACAAAGGGAUAUCCUGACCCUUGCCUUCCAAAAGUCAGAGUGAAGCUCUUUAUUCCUAAUUAAUUCAUUAACAACCCAUCAAUUCAUUUGCAAGUGAUGAGACUUCAAAUGCCCACAGCCUCAAUAAGAUUUUAUGGUGUAAUCCCUUAUGUAUGCACUCAUUGUUUCCAAGUGGCUUGUCAGGAAACAUGUCCACACCCUCCACAGAAAGAUACAAAGUCCCAAAGGCUCACUUCCUGGUAAGCUCAUAGAGCUGAUCAUAGAACUGAUUAACUCUAAGAAAAAAUAUUUGGCAAUUUUCCAAGGCUCUAAGUUACAGAUGAAUUUGUCAACAUUUAUCAGUGGAGAGGGUUCUCUAUACCAGUGAAAUUGUACCUCCUGAUUAAAAAAAAAUGUGAAUUGAUAUGAACCCAUAUGGUAAGUCAUAUCACAGAAAAUGGCUUAUAGGAAAACACAAGCAUAUAUAUGCAGACAUCUCUCCCAAACCUCCCAACUCAAAUCCUCACAAAUCAAUCAUCAAUGUCAUUUUCCACCACUGAGCUCUCAAAGGCCUUCCCCAGAGCCUAGGCUAUACCAAAAGUCUUAAGUGCAAUUUUAAGUUAUUAGAGAUUAAAGAUGCACUAGGACUUUGGGGAUACCCUGUAGAGAUAAAUUCAUGAGAUCAUGACUAGAACCCAACUUAGCAAUUUUUCCAUCCUCCUUAAUUGAGGUGGCUCUAUUAAAGCAGUUGUUCUUCUAUUUUAAGACAAAGAGAGGCAGCUAAGUCACUCAGUGAAUUGAGAGCCAAGCCUAGAGACAGGAGGUCUGGGGUUCAAAUCUGGCCUCAGAUACUUCCCAGUUGUAUGAUCCUAUGCAAGUCACUUAACCCCCAUGGCCUACCCCUUACCACCCUUUGCCUUAGAACUAAUACCCAGUAUAGAUCAUAAGACAGAAAGUAAGGGUUUAAAAAAGAGGAAAAAACAAAGAAACCUUGUGAUUCCAUCAUUUUCAUAGUGUGACCUUGGGCAAGUCACUUGCAUUCUUGGUGCUGUAGAUAAUCUCUAAUGCAAUAAAUUGAAGAGAAGGGACAGAUCUCCAUUGGUAGAAGUGGGUUUCUCACCUAAGAGUUCCCUAAACCAAUAAAAUCCUAGAUCUAGUACCUAUCUAAGCAAAUUAGGGUUCUCCUAAAAGUCUCUGUACUUCCAUGACUGCCACAUCCCUCACUUGAGGGUCUAUUUCACAUGUCUUUUGGCCUUUGGAUAAAUACAAAAGAAGGUAACACAAAAUUUUCAAAAAUAGCAUUUAAUUAAAAUCUACCUGAAUCAAAUUCACAUGAAAGCCAUUCAAAGCAAAGUCAUAGUACAAGGUAAUCAUUAAUUUAUGCAGAGGACAUUACCAUCUUUACUAAAGGAAAUCUGCAAUAUGAGGCAGGAGGUGAAUAAUUCACCCCCAUCUCCCCAGAUACCUGUUCUCUGAUUGUCACCUGCCUGAGUCAUAAUUGCCUCCUUCCCUACUCACCCAUCUAGUUUUACUACUCUGCUAGCUGCUCAAGAGUAGGCUUUGGUCUUUGGUUUAGUCCUGCUCUCAAUGAAAAUCAUGAAAUUACCACUGUUUAUUCUGUGAUGGAGAUUUGAAACCUUUUCCAAAUACCCUUGGAUCCUCCUCAUCAUCUUCACUUUCCACAAGCAUCUCUUCUGGAAAUAGUGGUUGUUGUUCAGAUGAUUCUUCUACUUCUAAAUCUAGAUCUUCAUCAAGUAGCAAGUCAAGCCAGCUGGUUUUGGGGUAUCCACAGGGCUCAAACUGGGAGGUUGAUGAUGAUGGGAUGGAAUUGAUGAUGGAACUUACAGUUUCAGCAGAGAUUGUGCCCCCUACAAUGGUGUAUGGUUUGAUGUACUUCAAACGCCAUGGAAUUUCUCUGUUCUGUACAAUUGGGAUCUGAUAGGGGAGCCCAGAGUCAACCUCAUCUUGAUAGGCGGAGGGCAAUACCACCCUAGUAUGGUGGUAGUCAUGGCCUGUUGGAGUAUCCUUUUGGUGGCUGGAACCAGAUGAAGGAAUAAUUCUCUCUUUGGGGUUGAAUAGAGGUAAAAUCCGUAUAAUCCGAUCCUCCAGAUCUAUUGGAUCUAAGUCUUCAGUGCUGGUAGACUUUGAUUCAGUUUCAGCCAGUUUGCUAGUGCGAGGUGGAUGUGUGAGGCCUGAUGGUCUGGCCUCAAUGACAUCUCAACCAAAUGGUCUGAGUUAGGGGGAAGUGUGACCCGGGCCUUGUCAUCUGGUGCAUGGUGGUGGUCCAGAAUGGGUGGAGAUAUAGCCUGGAGUUUUGGGUUGGGUUGAGAUAGGACCUGAGACUCAGGAUUUGGUUGAUGUGUUUAAUUGGUAGCCCAAUGCUAUCAAUGCCCAAAAGUCUAGACCAAUAAUAGAUUCAACUGGUUGUUCAGAGAAGACUGAUGGGAGGACACAGGUAUGAGGAUAUAUUGGAGCUUUAUCCCGCUGGUCAAGGCCACUUGGAUCCCUGGAUCUAUGAUCACCAGCUAUUAACAAAGACUUCUCCAAUAUUCCAGGACUGAGUGUGGACUCUGUUAAGGGAGGGCAGUUCUAUUAUAUCUGGAGUUUUGAAAACAGAUGCUGCCUCAGGCUCACUGAGAUUGAGCCUUGGUCUCCACAGCCCCUAGUCAAACCAAUGAUACAGUCCCCAGGAACUAUGGCCUGAUCAUUCACUGCUCUGAUAUGCCCUGGAGGUAGAGGAAUUAUAAUUGGAUGGUCAGGAUAUGGCAACGGCCCAGAGGGGUCUUUGACCUUGUAAUCAGGGCUUGGUGAAGACCGCUUGCAUGGUCAGAGAUUGGGACCAUCAUCUGGAGCAUGGAGCUCUUCAGAUUUCCAGGUGUAAAGAAGGAACAGACUUUGCUCUGACGAGGGGUAUGAAGUGUAGUGAUGAUCUAGCAGUUAGCCUGGCUCUGUGGUUGGGACUCUUGCUUUGAGGCCAUGAUAUCAAUGUGUCUGUUUCUCUGACAAAUUUGGUAAAUGAUGGAGGUGCAGACUUGGCUCUGAAUUUGUUAAAGAUUAGAGAAAGUAUAACUGUUUCUGGAAGUCUGGGAAUAGGUGGUACUUUCUUUAAAGUGCUUGAGUAGGGUUUGAUGAUUGGUUUAAGUUGGUGGUUAAGUUCAUCAAAAGCUGUGGCUUUGGAAUGGUGUUCAGGACUAGGUGACUUUAUAAUAACAUCUCUGGGCCAGAGGUCCAAUCCUCCUAUCAGGAGCAGUUGCAAACCUGAUCUGGUACCUAGAACUCUGAUGAACGAGAUGAUUUUGGCUUAUUUGCACUGAUGAGUCACUCUCUGGAAGUGAGGAUAUACUGAAGGUUCAGUCAUAACCUUGGAGCUCUUUUGUUCUACAGAUGGCAGAGCCAAUCUGAUCUGAUGGGUAGAUGGUGCCAGAGGUUAGGGCUGACCUUUGAGGCAUGGUAAUGUCUCCUUACUCUGAUAGUCAUGGCUCAGUGAGAUCUUUGGAAGUUUGUUGGAGCUUGAAGAAGCCUGGGCUAGUGCUUGAGGUGCAGUGAAGUAUUUGAUUGGUAGAUAGGGGCAAGAGGAGGCAUAACAAACCUUUUAGAAGGUUUCAAGGAUUCAACAGGUACCUUUGUCCUAAAGUCUACAUAAGGAAAUCCUUCAGUGGACAAAUGGGGAGAAGACACAGGUUAUUUCCAAAAGAGGAAGGGCAAAUGCAUCUCUGAGAACAACUUCUAAACUUGUUAAGCCUCCAUUUAGCU